UACGUUGGGCGCAAGCGUCAUCCGGAAUUAUUGGGCGUAAAGAGCUCGUAGGCGGUUUGUCGCGUCUGCCGUGAAAGUCCGGGGCUCAACUCCGGAUCUGCGGUGGGUACGGGCAGACUAGAGUGAUGUAGGGGAGACUGGAAUUCCUGGUGUAGCGGUGGAAUGCGCAGAUAUCAGGAGGAACACCAAUGGCGAAGGCAGGUCUCUGGGCCAUUACUGACACUGAGGAGCGAAAGCGUGGGGAGCGAACAGG
rnacentral:rRNA from 1 species